rnacentral:lncRNA from 1 species
GCUCUGGAGCGGGAGCUGGGAGGUGGGACUUGGGUAUGGGCAGCUGAGCUCUGGAGCGGGAGCUGGGAAUGGCCAGCUGAACUCUGGAGCGGGAGCAGGGAGCUGGGAGGCGGGACUUGGGAAUGGGCAGCUGAGCUCUGGAGCGGGAGCUGGGAAUGGGCAGCUGAGCUCUGGAGCGGGAGCAGGGAGCUGGGAGGCGGGAUUUGGGAAUGGGAAGCUGAGCUCUGGAGCGGGAGCAGGGAGCUGGGAGGCGGGACUUGGGAAUGGGCAGCUGAGCUCUGGAGCGGGAGCUGGGAAUGGGAAGCUGAGCUCUGGAGCGGGAGCAGGGAGCUGGGAGGCGGGACUUGGGAAUGGGCAGCUGAGCUCUGGAGCGGGAGCUGGGAAUGGACAGCUGAGCUCUGGAGCGGGAGCAGGGAGCUGGGAGGCGGGACUUGGGAAUGGGCAGCUGAGCUCUGGAGCGGGAGCUGGGAAUGGGCAGCUGAGCUCUGGAGCGGGAGCAGGGAGCUGGGAGGCGGGAUUUGGGAAUGGGAAGCUGAGCUCUGGAGCGGGAGCAGGGAGCUGGGAGGCGGGACUUGGGAAUGGGCAGCUGAGCUCUGGAGCGGGAGCUGGGAAUGGACAGCUGAGCUCUGGAGCGGGAGCAGGGAGCUGGGAGGCGGGAUUUGGGAAUGGGCAGCUGAGCUCUGGAGCGGGAGCUGGAAAUGGGCAGCUGAGCUCUGGAGCGGGAGCAGGGAGCUGGGAGGCGGGACCUGGGAAUGGGAAACUGAGCUCUGGAGCGGGAGGUGGGACUGGGCAUCUGAGGUCUGGAGCGAGAUCUGGGAGGCGGGACCCGGGAAGGGAAAGCUGAGCUCUGGAGCGGGAGCUGGAAAUGGGCAGCUGAGCUCUGGAGCGGGAGCUGGGAAUGGGCAGCUGAGCUCUGGAGCGGGAGCAGGGAGCUGGGAGGCGGGAUUUGGGAAUGGGCAGCUGAGCUCUGGAGCGGGAGCUGGAAAUGGGCAGCUGAGCUCUGGAGCGGGAGCAGGGAGCUGGGAGGCGGGACUUGGGAAUGGGCAGCUGAGCUCUGGAGCGGGAGCUGGGAAUGGACAGCUGAGCUCUGGAGCGGGAGCAGGGAGCUGGGAGGCGGGACUUGGGAAUGGGCAGCUGAGCUCUGGAGCGGGAGCUGGGAAUGGACAGCUGAGCUCUGGAGCGGGAGCAGGGAGCUGGGAGGCGGGACUUGGGAAUGGGCAGCUGAGCUCUGGAGCGGGAGCUGGGAAUGGACAGCUGAGCUCUGGAGCGGGAGCUGGGAAUGGACAUCUGAGCUCUGGAGCGGGAGCAGGGAGCUGGGAGGCGGGACCUGGGAAUGGGAAGCUGAGCUCUGGAGCGGGAGCUGGGAGCGGGGAGGCGGGACCCGGGAAGGGGAAGCCGAGGUGUGGACGGAGCGGGAGCCGGGCUCGGGGAGGCGGGAGCCGGGCUCGGGGAGGCGGGCCCCGGGAGCCGCUCCCUGCGGUGCCGUAG